GACGAACGCUGGCGGCGUGCUUAACACAUGCAAGUCGAACGGAAAGGCCCUGCUUUUGUGGGGUGCUCGAGUGGCGAACGGGUGAGUAACACGUGAGUAACCUGCCCUUGACUUUGGGAUAACUUAAGGAAACUGGGGCUAAUACCGGAUAGGAGCUCCUGCUGCAUGGUGGGGGUUGGAAAGUUUCGGCGGUUGGGGAUGGACUAGCGGCUGAUCAGCUUGUUGGUGGGGUAGUGGCUUACCAAGGCUUUGACGGGUAGCCGGCCUGAGAGGGUGACCGGCCACAUUGGGACUGAGAUACGGCCCAGACUCCUACGGGAGGCAGCAGUGGCGAAUAUUGCACAAUGGGCGGAAGCCUGAUGCAGCAACGCCGCGUGCGUGAUGACGGCCUUCGGGUUGUAAACCGCUUUCGCCUGUGACGAAGCGUGAGUGACGGUAAUGGGUAAAGAAGCACCGGCUAACUACGUG
rnacentral:rRNA from 1 species